UGAAAGCCCAAUACCCAUUUCCCUUCCCUUGAAUCCCUAAAACCUAGACACAAAAGAAAAAAGAUCAGAUCUCUCUUUCUCUUUGAAGACACCAACGGCGCUCCUCUCCUCAGAACGGACAACCUCCCUCCAUGAAAUCUCAUCUCUCACCCUCACUCACACAAAAACGUUAAGACUCAAGUUGUUGUUGCUGGUUUGCUGCUGAUUUAUUCAAGUUGUUGCUGAGCUCCAUCUGAAUUUGGCCUUCUCUUAGUGUUUUUCUUGCUUUGAAUAGUUCCGAAUAGCUUAAAUUAUUGCCAAUUUGCCGCCCUCUGCCGGCUGCCGCUACGAUCCUGUUCGUCAAUUUCUGCA